CUUCACGGGUCCGAGUUGUAAUUUGUAGAGGAUGUUUCGGAUAAGGCUUUGGUUUAAGUUUCUUGGAACAGAACGUCAUAGAGGGUGAGAGUCCCGUCUAGAACCGAUAGCCGCGUUCAUGUGAAACUCCUUCGACGAGUCGAGUUGUUUGGGAAUGCAGCUCAAAAUGGGUGGUAAAUUUCAUCUAAAGCUAAAUAUUGGCCAGAGACCGAUAGCGCACAAGUAGAGUGAUCGAAAGAUGAAAAGCACUUUGAAAAGAGAGUUAAACAGUAUGUGAAAUUGUUGAAAGGGAAGCGCUUGCAACCAGACUUGUGUUUAACGGUUCCCCUGUGUCUUUUGACCAGGCUAUUCCGUUAUAUCCAGGCCAGCAUCGGUUCGGGUGGUUGGUUAAAGGCCUCGGGAAUGUAUCUACCUUCG
rnacentral:rRNA from 1 species